AUUGAACGCUGGCGGCAGGCUUAACACAUGCAAGUCGAGCGGGGUGAUGGUGCUUGCACUAUCACUUAGCGGCGGACGGGUGAGUAAUGCUUAGGAAUCUGCCUAUUAGUGGGGGACAACAUCUCGAAAGGGAUGCUAAUACCGCAUACGUCCUACGGGAGAAAGCAGGGGAUCACUUGUGACCUUGCGCUAAUAGAUGAGCCUAAGUCGGAUUAGCGAGUUGGUGGGGUAAAGGCCUACCAAGGCGACGAUCUGUAGCGGGUCUGAGAGGAUGAUGCGCCACACUGGGACUGAGACACGGCCCAGACUCCUACGGGAGGCAGCAGUGGGGAAUAUUGGACAAUGGGGGGAACCCUGAUCCAGCCAUGCCGCGUGUGUGAAGAAGGCCUUAUGGUUGUAAAGCACUUUAAGCGAGGAGGAGGCUCUUUUGGUUAAUACCCAAGAUGAGUGGACGUUACUCGCAGAAUAAGCACCGGCUAACUCUGUGCCAGCAGCCGCCGUAA
rnacentral:rRNA from 1 species